GAUUCAUAAUAACUCAACGAAUCGCAUGGCCUUGCGCCGGCGAUGGUUCAUUCAAAUUUCUGCCCUAUCAACUUUCGAUGGUAGGAUAGUGGCCUACCAUGGUUUCUACGGGUAACGGGGAAUUAGGGUUCUAUUCCGGAGAGGGAGCCUGAGAAACGGCUACCACAUCCAAGGAAGGCAGCAGGCGCGCAAAUUACCCAAUCCCGACACGGGGAGGUAGUGACAAUAAAUACUGAUGGAGAGCUCUUUUGGGUUUUCUAGUUGGAAUGAGUACAAUUUAAAUUUCUUAAUGAGGAACAAUUGGAGGGCAAGUCUGGUGCCAGCAGCCGCGGUAAUUCCAGCUCCAAUAGCGUAUAUUAAAGUUGUUGCAGUUAAAAAGCUCGUAGUUGAAACUCAGGCCUGGCUGGCCGGUCCGCCUCACCGCGAGCACUGGUUCGGCCGGGCUUUUUCCUUCUGGGGAGCCGCAUGCCCUUCACUGGGUGCGUUGGGGAACCAGGACUUUUACUUUGAAAAAAUUAGAGUGUUCAAAGCAGGCAUAUGCUCGGAUACAUUAGCAUGGAAUAAUAGAAUAGGACGUGUGGUUCUAUUUUGUUGGUUUCUAGGACCGCCGUAAUGAUUAAUAGGGAUAGUCGGGGGCAUCAGUAUUCAAUUGUCAGAGGUGAAAUUCUUGGAUUUAUUGAAGACUAACUACUGCGAAAGCAUUUGCCAAGGAUGUUUUCAUUAAUCAGUGAAC
rnacentral:rRNA from 1 species